AGUUUUCUUGGCGCAGUUAGCAGCACGUCAGUCUCAUAAAAUCUAAAGGUCGCCAGUUCGAACCUGGCUAAAGCGU